GCCCACGUAGCUCAGUUGGCAGAGCACUUCCUUGGUAAGGAAGAGGUCACCGGUUCAAAUCCGGUCGCGGGCU
rnacentral:tRNA from 1 species